rnacentral:rRNA from 1 species
AGCAGCCGCGGUAAUUCCAGCUCCAAUAGCGUAUAUUAAAGUUGUUGCAGUUAAAAAGCUCGUAGUUGAAUUUCGGGAUCAAUUUAUCGGUCGUGCCAAUGGUAUGAACUGGUACAAUCGGUUUCUCCCUUCUGACGAAGCAUGAUGUCAUUAAUUUGGUGUCGUGGGGAAUCAGGACUGUUACUUUGAAAAAUUGAGUGUUUAAAGCAAGCAUUAGCUUGAAUACAUUAGCAUGGAAUAAUGAAAUAGGACGUUUGAUCCUUAUUUCGUUGGUUUCUAGGAUCGACGGUAAUGAUUAAUAGGGAUAGUUGGGGGCAUUAGGUAUUCAAUUGUCAGAGUGAAAUUCUUGGAUUUAUUGAA